UACAGAGGGUGCGAGCGUUGUCCGGAGUUACUGGGCGUAAAGGGCAUGCAGGCGGUCGGACGCGUUUCGGGUGACAGCGGGUGGCUUAACUACCCGAGUGGUCGAAAGACGGUUUGACUUGAGGACGCGAGAGGGACACGGAAUUCCGGGUGGAGUGGUGAAAUGCGUAGAGAUCCGGAGGAACACCGAAGGCGAAGGCAGUGUCCUGGCGCGUAACUGACGCUGAGGUGCGAAAGCCAGGGGAGCGAACGGG
rnacentral:rRNA from 1 species